CAGGCUUGGGGUGUCAGAAGGCAGCAUUCUUGGUGUAGCUCCACCAUGACCUGGCCUCUGCUCCUGCUCACCCUCCUCACUCAGGGCCCAGGUGA
rnacentral:pre_miRNA from 1 species